CAGAGAGUGGGUAGAGUCGGGAGGGGAGUGUGUGGAAUGUGGGCGGAGUCAGGGCAUGACGUGGGCAGGAGGAUGGGGAUCGGAGUGCGCAAGGCCCCUCUGAAGAUUUUUUUGCAAGGGGGUCAGGCACACUCUAGUUACUGACGAGAGGCAAGCAAUAUGGCAGCAUUUACAUUAUCUGGCUAAAAGUACGUGGACACCUUGUAAGGGGUAGGUUGUGUUACUCAUGCCAAACAUAAAGCAAAUAGUAUGUAUCUGUAUGUAACCAUUGUAUAUUUACCUUUUAAAUCUGUUUGAUAAAGCUACUGUACAUAAGGAAAAUGUCAGUAUUGUAGUCAGAAAUGGUGUAUAUUUUAACAUGCAAUGUUAAGCAGUCAUUAUAAGUUAUUUGUGACAUAUUUUCAUUUUCUAAUGCCUAGUAAAGAACAGCAGUGGGUAAUGGCAGAUAUAUUUCAGAGCCUUAAUCCAGGAAAUGUACUGAAUAAUGUACUGUAUAACAUGCCAUCCUAUAAAAUGCAAACUGAACAUUGGGAAGAGCAGUAUUAGUGCUGUGGAGGCUGCAUGUGAUCAGCAGAUGAGAGGCACAUGGACAGACUGAGGACCAGCACAUGCAAAGGAAGUGAUACAGCAGUGACUGGAGACCUGAGAGGGUAUAAAAGGAGUUACAGGUACCUGAGAGAGGGACUGUCUGGACCAGAUAGCAGGACUGCAGCAGUGCAAAGACAAGCAAACAAGUUUCUGUGCAGGGAAAGGAGCAGAGCCGGAAUAGCUGAGCAGCAGAAUUGAACUGCAUUGGUAAAAGAGCUGAGAGGCCUCCAGCACCAGAAGCAGGCAAUGGACAGAGGAUUAUUUCAGGCAGCUGUGGAAUACUAAUCCUGAUGGGUCCAGAUAAUAGUCAGUUCUGGCCAGAACUUUGAACUGUCCUCCCAGCAGCAUCCUUUCCUUUUCUUCUCAGAUGGCCCCAUCUUGGAACCAGUUAAUGUGCCAAUUACCCAGAGACAAGUUUAGCAAUUCUUUUGCCAAAGUCUUCAAUGGACACUAAAGUUUGCUAGGCACUAGGUUUAAGAACUCAUUGUGGACACCACACUUAUUAAGUGCCUCCUUCUGUCACAAAGACUGCCACAAACCCCUGCUGUUCUCAUCUCAUAACCGGAACCUCUUACAACCAUUCGAUUCAGGUCCCGCAACCCAAGUGACUGUACUAAGUGGGCUCCUGGGUGAUGAUGCAAAUAUAUAAUCCAGUAUUUAAUGCAGUUUGUCCUCUUAUAUUAAAGUUGUAGGCACAGGUUCUGUUAAGAUAUUUUAGGAUUACUUUGUAUUAUUAAAAUGUUGAACAUUGUUAUAUGUUAAUGAAAGAAAAGGGGUUAUCUAUAAUUCUUCCUAAGUGAAAUAAGAAAUAGAAGCUAACUGCUAUUCCGUGAGUUAUUAAGCAUGUUAUGUAUUGUGUCUAUAUAGUAUAUGGCUAUAUCAAGUAAUAUUAUAUGCACACUGUUCAGACACUGCUGUGAAUGUUAACAGUGGAGGUUAUGUCUGUUGGCUACAUAAGUAAAAUGGUAAUUAUUUUUUUUGUAAAACCAGUAAACUGCAGUUAAGCUUC